CUGGGCUUGCGUGGGGAUUAGUGGCGAACGGGUGAGUAACACGUGAGUAACCUGCCCUUAACUCUGGGAUAAGCCUUGGAAACGGGGUCUAAUACUGGAUAUUGACUUUACCUCGCAUGGGGUUUGGUUGAAAGAUUUAUUGGUUUUGGAUGGACUCGCGGCCUAUCAGCUUGUUGGUGAGGUAAUGGCUCACCAAGGCGACGACGGGUAGCCGGCCUGAGAGGGUGACCGGCCACACUGGGACUGAGACACGGCCCAGACUCCUACGGGAGGCAGCAGUGGGGAAUAUUGCACAAUGGGCGAAAGCCUGAUGCAGCGACGCCGCGUGAGGGAUGACGGCCUUCGGGUUGUAAACCUCUUUCAGUAGGGAACAAGGCCAGCAUUUUUGUUGGUUGAGGGUACUUGCAGAAGAAGCGCCGGCUAACUACGUGCCAGCAGCCGCGGUAAUACGUAGGGCGCAAGCGUUAUCCGGAAUUAUUGGGCGUAAAGAGCUCGUAGGCGGUUUGUCGCGUCUGCCGUGAAAGUCCGGGGCUCAACCCCGGAUCUGCGGUGGGUACGGGCAGACUAGAGUGAUGUAGGGGAGACUGGAAUUCCUGGUGUAGCGGUGAAAUGCGCAGAUAUCAGGAGGAACACCGAUGGCGAAGGCAGGUCUCUGGGCAUUAACUGACGCUGAGGAGCGAAAGCAUGGGGAGCGAACAGGAUUAGAUACCCUGGUAGUCCAUGCCGUAAACGUUGGGCACUAGGUGUGGGGGACAUUCCACGUUUUCCGCGCCGUAGCUAACGCAUUAAGUGCCCCGCCUGGGGAGUACGGCCGCAAGGCUAAAACUCAAAGGAAUUGACGGGGGCCCGCACAAGCGGCGGAGCAUGCGGAUUAAUUCGAUGCAACGCGAAGAACCUUACCAAGGCUUGACAUGAACCGGUAAUACCUGGAAACAGGUGCCCCGCUUGCGGUCGGUUUACAGGUGGUGCAUGGUUGUCGUCAGCUCGUGUCGUGAGAUGUUGGGUUAAGUCCCGCAACGAGCGCAACCCUCGUUCUAUGUUGCCAGCACGUAAUGGUGGGGACUCAUAGGAGACUGCCGGGGUCAACUCGGAGGAAGGUGAGGACGACGUCAAAUCAUCAUGCCCCUUAUGUCUUGGGCUUCACGCAUGCUACAAUGGCCGGUACAAUGGGUUGCGAUACUGUGAGGUGGAGCUAAUCCCAAAAAGCCGGUCUCAGUUCGGAUUGGGGUCUGCAACUCGACCCCAUGAAGUCGGAGUCGCUAGUAAUCGCAGAUCAGCAACGCUGCGGUGAAUACGUUCCCGGGCCUUGUACACACCGCCCGUCAAGUCACGAAAGUUGGUAACACCCGAAGCCGGUGGCCUAACCC
rnacentral:rRNA from 1 species